UACGUAGGUGGCAAGCGUUAUCCGGAAUUAUUGGGCGUAAAGAGCGCGCAGGUGGUUGAUUAAGUCUGAUGUGAAAGCCCACGGCUUAACCGUGGAGGGUCAUUGGAAACUGGUCGACUUGAGUGCAGAAGAGGGAAGUGGAAUUCCAUGUGUAGCGGCGAAAUGCGUAGAGAUAUGGAGGAACACCAGUGGCGAAGGCGGCUUCCUGGUCUGUAACUGACACUGAGGCGCGAAAGCGUGGGGAGCAAACCGGAUUAGAUACCCU
rnacentral:rRNA from 1 species